rnacentral:rRNA from 1 species
CCUACGGGAGGCAGCAGUGGGGAAUAUUGGGCAAUGGGCGCAAGCCUGACCCAGCAACGCCGCGUGAAGGAAGAAGGCUUUCGGGUUGUAAACUUCUUUUCUCAGGGACGAAGAGCGUGACGGUACCUGAGGGAUAAGCCACAGCUAACUACGGGCCAGCAGCCACGGUAAUACGUAGGUGGCAAGCGUUAUCCGGAUUUCUUGGGUGUAAAGGGCGUGUAGGCGGGAGCGCAAGUCAGAUGUGAAAACUCAGGGGGCAACCCUGAGCCCGCGUUUGAAACUGUGGUUCUUGAGUGCUGGAGAGGUAAGCGGAAUGCGGGGUGUAGCGGUGAAAUGCGUAGAUAUACGGAGGAACACCAGUGGCGAAGGCGGAGUGCCGGCUACGAACUGACGCUGAGGCGCGAAAGCGUGGGUAGCGAACAGGAUUAGAUACCCUUGUAGUC